rnacentral:lncRNA from 1 species
AACAAAUUUUUCUCGUAAGAAAUAAAGGGAAAAUGAUUAAACCGUUCCACGUCCUUCACAAUGCUAGUCAAUUUAAUAAUGUUUUUUGUUUUCACAAUCAUAGAUACAGUCAUUCUUUGUGUACAGUAUACAACAGCCAAGUCCUGAAUAUGUAUGCCACCUUCAUAUUUUCAACAAUCUCUUUUUUCACUCUAACCAUUGAUCUUAACCAUUUUCUGCAUUUCUUGGCUCUUCUCAUUAACUUUCUUAGAAUGCAUGGUUAAUGAAUUUAUUGAAAAUUUAUGUGAAAAAACACAAAAUCAUGUGAAA